rnacentral:rRNA from 1 species
AACCCCGGCGAGGGGAGUGAAAAAGAACCUGAAACCGUGUACGUACAAGCAGUGGGAGCCUCUCUUUUAUGGGGUGACUGCGUACCUUUUGUAUAAUGGGUCAGCGACUUAUAUUCUGUAGCAAGGUUAACCGUAUAGGGGAGCCGAAGGGAAACCGAGUCUUAACUGGGCGUUAAGUUGCAGGGUAUAGACCCGAAACCCGGUGAUCUAGCCAUGGGCAGGUUGAAGGUUGGGUAACACUAACUGGAGGACCGAACCGACUAAUGUUGAAAAAUUAGCGGAUGACUUGUGGCUGGGGGUGAAAGGCCAAUCAAACCGGGAGAUAGCUGGUUCUCCCCGAAAGCUAUUUAGGUAGCGCCUCGUGAACUCAUCUUCGGGGGUAGAGCACUGUUUCGGCUAGGGGGCCAUCCCGGCUUACCAACCCGAUGCAAACUACGAAUACCGAAGAAUGUUAUCACGGGAGACACACGGCGGGUGCUAACGUCCGUCGUGAAGAGGGAAACAACCCAGACCGCCAGCUAAGGUCCCAAAGUCAUGGUUAAGUGGGAAACGAUGUGGGAAGGCACAGACAGCCAGGAUGUUGGCUUAGAAGCAGCCAUCAUUUAAAGAAAGCGUAAUAGCUCACUGGUCGAGUCGGCCUGCGCGGAAGAUGUAACGGGGCUAAACCAUGCACCGAAGCUGCGGCAGCGACGCUUAUGCGUUGUUGGGUAGGGGAGCGUUCUGUAAGCCGUUGAAGGUGUCCUGUGAGGGGUGCUGGAGGUAUCAGAAGUGCGAAUGCUGACAUAAGUAACGAUAAAGCGGGUGAAAAGCCCGCUCGCCGGAAGACCAAGGGUUCCUGUCCAACGUUAAUCGGGGCAGGGUGAGUCGACCCCUAAGGCGAGGCCGAAAGGCGUAGUCGAUGGGAAACAGGUUAAUAUUCCUGUACUUGGUGUUACUGCGAAGGGGGGACGGAGAAGGCUAUGUUAGCCGGGCGACGGUUGUCCCGGUUUAAGCAUGUAGGCGGAGGUUCCAGGUAAAUCCGGUUCCUUGUUAACGCUGAGGUGUGAUGACGAGGCACUACGGUGCUGAAGUAACAAAUGCCCUGCUUCCAGGAAAAGCCUCUAAGCAUCAGGUAACAUCAAA